CCUACGGGAGGCAGCAGUGAGGAAUAUUGGUCAAUGGACGAGAGUCUGAACCAGCCAAGUCGCGUGAAGGAAGAAGGAUCUAUGGUUUGUAAACUUCUUUUAUAGGGGAAUAAAGGUAUCCACGUGUGGAUAUUUGCAUGUACCCUAUGAAUAAGCAUCGGCUAACUCCGUGCCAGCAGCCGCGGUAAUACGGAGGAUGCGAGCGUUAUCCGGAUUUAUUGGGUUUAAAGGGUGCGUAGGUUGUUUUUUAAGUCAGCGGUGAAAGUUUGUGGCUCAACCAUAAAAUUGCCGUUGAAACUGGAAGACUUUAGUGUGUUUGAGGUAGGCGGAAUGCGUGGUGUAGCGGUGAAAUGCAUAGAUAUCACGCAGAACUCCGAUUGCGAAGGCAGCUUACUAAGCCAUAACUGACACUGAAGCACGAAAGCGUGGGGAUCAAACAGGAUUAGAUACCCUGGUAGUC
rnacentral:rRNA from 1 species